UUAAUUAAAGCCAAACUAGAGGCAUAUCACUGUUAAUGAUAAAAUUGAAUUCAUAUUCUAAUUAAA
rnacentral:tRNA from 1 species